rnacentral:tRNA from 1 species
GGGGGUAUAGUUCAGUGGUAGAGUGCGUGCUUAGCAUGCACGAGGUCCUGGGUUCAAUCCCUAGUACCUCCA